ACAGCAGUCGCCACGGUAAUACGUAGGGUCCGAGCGUUGUCCGGAAUUAUUGGGCGUAAAGGGCUCGUAGGCGGUUUGUUGCGUCGGGAGUGAAAACCCAGGGCUUAACUCUGGGCCUGCUUUCGAUACGGGCAGACUAGAGGCAUUCAGGGGAGAACGGAAUUCCUGGUGUAGCGGUGAAAUGCGCAGAUAUCAGGAGGAACACCGGUGGCGAAGGCGGUUCUCUGGGAAUGUUCUGACGCUGAGGAGCGAAAGUGUGGGGAGCGAACAGGAUUAGAGACCCCUGUAGUCCCUGUCUCUUAUAC
rnacentral:rRNA from 1 species